rnacentral:rRNA from 1 species
GUCUACUGCCAUCCCACCCUGAAUAUACCUGAUCUCAGAAGCUAAGCGGGGUCAGGUCUGGUUAGUGCUUGGAUGGGAGAAAUGUACUGUUUGAAGUCGUUGUUA